UGUUAUCUAGAUUGUUUGUGAUUUAGCUUCAAUCUUGAGCCGAUACAUUUUACAAAGGGAGUCUUGGUAUUUUAUCUAGAGUGCAUGCUUUUGCAUUUGCCAGAAAGAAGCCCAACGAUAAAAUUAUGACACCCACUUUUACUGUCCUGGGAUCAAGGACAUUGAGUUAAAACGACAAUCUGGAUAGCCA
rnacentral:other from 1 species